rnacentral:rRNA from 1 species
GUUAUUUAUUUUAGAYUUGGCCUGCCCAAUGAAUUAUUUAAUGGCCGCGGUAUUUUGACCGUGCAAAGGUAGCAUAAUCAUUAGUUUAUUAAUUGUGAACUUGUAUGAAUGGUUUGACGAGACAUUUGCUUUCUUAUAUUUAUUAUAUUGAAUUUAAAUAUUAAGUUAAAAUGCUUAAAUUUUUUUAUGGGACGAGAAGACCCUAUAGAUCUUUAUUAUAUUAUAUUUAAUAUUCUUUGGUUUAAUUAUUUUUUAAUUUUAAUAUUUUUUUAUUGGGGUGAUAGUAGAAUAUAAUUAACUUCUAUUAAUUUUUUACAAUGAUUUUUGGUUUUUUGAUUUUAUCAUAUUGAUUUAAGAUUUAGAUACCUUAGGGAUAACAGCGUAAUUUUAUUUGAGAGUUCUUAUUGACAAUAAAGAUUGCGACCUCGAUGUUGGAUUAAGAUUAUAUUUUGGUGUAGAUGCUAAUUAUGGAUAAGUCUGUUC